GAGUUUGAUCUUGGCUCAGAUUGAACGCUGGCGGCAGGCCUAACACAUGCAAGUCGAACGGUAGCACAGAGAGCUUGCUCUCGGGUGACGAGUGGCGGACGGGUGAGUAAUGUCUGGGAAACUGCCCGAUGGAGGGGGAUAACUACUGGAAACGGUAGCUAAUACCGCAUAACGUCGCAAGACCAAAGAGGGGGACCUUCGGGCCUCUUGCCAUCGGAUGUGCCCAGAUGGGAUUAGCUUGUAGGUGAGGUAACGGCUCACCU
rnacentral:rRNA from 1 species